CUGUACGCUUGCGCACCUGACCGGAUAAACAUGGCGGCCGAAUUGACGCAAUUGGUCGGUGCAACAGACCAACAAACCGAAAUGACUAAUGAGGAGUAAACAAGCGGAAGAUUUGUAGAAGGAUUCGAAAGAAAGAUGGCUGAGCCUAAGGAAAAGGUUAAGCGUUAUUUUACUGGAAAAAGAAGCGUUACAAAUGCUGACUUGCAUUAAUAAGCAUUCAUCGCUGGCGAGAUAAUACUUAUUGGAGGGCUUGAAAACGGUCGUGGGGAUUUUUUCAGCUUGACACAACAUUGACUCCACAUUGUUUUGUAAACAAGCCACAGUUUAAUGGAAGCUUGAAGUGAAAGAUGAAACAGUCAGCUGUACUGGAUCUGACAGCAAAUGCACUGCAAACUGGCGGUGCGGUGGGGGAGAGGGUGGAGGGUGCAGCUGGGCCCUGUGGGAGAUUGUGCGGAGGUCGAGAUCAUGUUUAUUCUGCGGGAGGCAGUCACAGAGGAUGUUCAAAAAUACCUGAGGUGUGGGAAUAUGCAGCAGGUUCUUCACCAGAUGCUUCUAUUGUGUCUUAUGAGGAGAUAAAGCUGUAAUUUGUUCUUUAUUUUUGCUGUCUUCUGUUAAAGGUGUUGUAUGUAAGUUUUUGAGUCUAUUAAAAUAGCAUAAUAUGUUUGCAAAUAAUUCAGAAACAUGCUAAGUGAAUAUAUUUGUUUAUCUGGAAAACAAUGCUAAAGUCAGUUAUUCCCCUUUAAAAAUGUGUGUUCCGUGUCAGAAUAUGUGUCUUUGUUUUAGUCUCUGUCUUCUUUUAAAGGUGUUGUAUGUACGUUUUUGACUCUUCUUAAGCAUAAAGACCCGUGCACACCGGGAUGCUUUUUGCUCAUGUUUUCCGUUGACGUUUAAUGCCUCGUGACUAAAUAAAGGGUGCCAAUGUGAUUGUGCACACUAACGAGCAAAACGGCAGAUGUAAAAGCGUAAUUUUUUAAGGAACGCCUCGUGCUCGUUUUUUUUUUUUUUUUUUUUUUUUUAAACACGCCAUUAAAACCUUCUCUUCCAAUCAGAUUACCACUUUUGUUCAUGUGCACAGAGCUGCUGAAGUUACAGUAAACAGCACUUGGAGGCGCUCAAGCGCGAAGCUGUCAAUGCGAGCACACAAUGAAGAAGAUGCCCAGAGGCGAUAUGAACGUGGAGCUGCUUAUUGCACUGGUGAACAAUAAUCAUUUCUUCAUCGCUAGAGCUGGAGCUCAUACUUGAACCAUCCAUGCUUGUUCGAGUCACCAGUAACUUUAACAACAAGUGUGUGAACUUCCUCUCUUCCUCUACUUCUUUGUUAUAAGCAAGUGUCAGAAGCUUAAAGUUGUGUAGCGCCAUCUAACGUCAAGGAGUGGUUUUGCAUACUCUUCUGCUUGAUGCCAGUGAAAAUUGCUUGGGUGUAAAUCCGGAAAAACAUCUCCUAAAAUGCUGACAAUAAAUGCAAACAAAAAGCAUCCCGAUGUGUACGAGCCUUAACAAUACCAU
rnacentral:lncRNA from 1 species